rnacentral:misc_RNA from 1 species
GAUGAAGAACGCAGCGAAAUGCGAUAAGUAAUGUGAAUUGCAGAAUUCAGUGAAUCAUCGAAUCUUUGAACGCACAUUGCGCCCGCCAGUAUUCUGGCGGGCAUGCCUGUCUGAGCAUCAUUUCAACCCUCAUGCCCCUAGGGCGUGGUGUUGGGGAUCGGCCAAAGCCCGCGAGGGACGGCCGGCCCCUAAAUCUAGUGGCGGACCCGUCGUGGCCUCCUCUGCGAAGUAGUGAUAUUCCGCAUCGGAGAGCGAUGAGCCCCUGCCGUUAAACCCCCAACUUUCCAAGGUUGACCUCAGAUCAGGUAGGAAUACCCGCUGAACUUAAGCAUAUCAAUAAGCGGAGGA